CCCAGCAGUGCCAGUGAGGAAUCACACUCCUCUUUCCUGAAGUGAACCUGCAGUCAUUCAGACAAUGGAUACAGAUUGAUUUGGGUGGGUAAAAUCCCCUUUCAGUACCUGGUGCCUGCUCCACUGACACUGUUCUCUUGCAGGAUCUCCUGGAGACCUAAAUGAGGCCUCUAAAGGUUAACCUGUGGGCAGGUGUAGGAUGCCAGGAGGGAAUGUUCACCCAGCUGCUCUGAGGCUGAUGACGUGCACAGGUAACCCGAGAGCCUGUUGCACAGCUUUUGUGCCUGGGGUUGCUGUGGGAUCCUACAGAGCUGGCUGGCUCUGUCCCUGUGUGUGCCAUGCUCUUGAUGGCUCUGUUUUCUUCCUUGUCCCUGUUGUGCCAUGCCCACCCCAGCUCUGUCCCUGUGUGUGCCAUGCCUAGCUGGCUCUGUCCCUGUGUGUGCCAUGCCCACAUCACCAGGCUGUGCUGCCCCUCCUGAGCACGUGCCUUUCGGCUGUGUUUGAAUUCAAUGUGCAAUGCCUGUUGCCCAGUAACUCUCUGGCUGCAUGGUCCUAUUCUGUGCUGCCCUGUCUGGAUUAUUCAGGAAUAUCUGGGAACCUGUGUCCCUGAACUGUCUGUUAUCAGGAAGCCCUAGGAAGCUUUUACUGUACUCUGUUUAUUUUUCCAUUCCCUCCCACACCUCACACAACAUGGGGCAACAGCACAGGAUGCAGUCAAAUGGUGACCUACAAACAUCACUGUCAGCAAUAGAUGAUGCAAGAACAAGGCUGAACUUCCAGCCCAUUAGGCUCUGUGGAGCCAGGCGGCAGACGGGUGAUGUGGUGUGUCUGCAUACCUCCCCCAGGCACUGGAGAAGAGGUAAGAUGCAAAACCCUUCCUGCACUGCAAGGAGGUACAAGAUCCUUCUCAUCCUCAAGGGAACACACUGCUUCACAAACACACUGUGGCAACUUCCCGUGCCACAGGGGUGCCACGGGACAAGCUCACGGACUGUGGGAAUCACUCCUAGAAGAGACAGGGAUGGCAAAAGGAGAAGGCAUUUGCAAAGCCUUCUGAAAUGGUGCCUCCCCUGGCUAAAAGGGCUCACCUUGAAGGCACCUGAAGGGCUUCUGAGCCACUCCAGACAACUUCCCAGUGCUGACUGUCCUGUGUGAAACAAGGAACUUGGCUCAGUCAGGACGGCAGAGGUUUGUCAGAGCCUGUGUCCCACUGGAAAUGCCUUCAUUCUCCAACUUGAAGUGUUUGUCUCUUCUAUCAGCCUUGGCAGUGGGGCAGUUUAAGGGAUCACUCCACACUUCUGUUGGCAUAAAGCUGGUACCUAUUUUCCCUGUGGAAGCAGGAGUUACUGAACUGGUUUAGGUGACUGUGACUAGAGUCCCUGUGAACAGUGUGGGUUAUUUUGGCACAGGUACAGUGGAAAAGUGCUAAUCCCCUCAUCUGCACUUGUUAAACCUUUUAAUUAAAGAUCACUUUGAUGAAAGUGCAAGGCUGAGAGGUCAGGGUUUUGCUACAGCACUCACCAGAGACUCAAGAAACAGCAGCUGUGAGUGGUAGUGAGCUUUGAGAUCUGUCUUUCGAGCCCUAGUGGAAAAGAUGAAGAGGCACCAGCUCCUAUGCUCUCCAUCUCUGUGGGGCAAAGCUAGACCCAGAGGAAUUUGGGUCUGAUUCACAGCUGAGCAGGAAAGGUGACCUAGAACUGCCCCACAUCAGUGAUUUCAUGUAAGUCAUCUGACAGAUGUGUGAGGGAUUCACCAAAAGAGGGAAAUGAAUAACUUUCAAAACCACCUUGGAGGACUGGGUUCUCAGAUGAAAAAGUGCUGAAAUGUGUGGAACCCAGGAAGAAAAGUGCAGCCACAAGAGCACACGGCUCCUCUGGAAAGAAUAAGAAUGCUGUGAAUUCUGAUUGUUUGCUUGCCCUUUUUUUCCUCCUGUGGUAUUUACAGUGCCCUGGUACUCACUCAGCUUUCCUAGCUAACAGCUAGGGAGGUGGAUGGAGCUGCCUGGAAUCCUGGCACCAGACACCUGACAGGCACCUUCAUGCUUCAGGCACCCUGCAGGAGGGCAGAGCCAGCUUGGCUGUGUUCCUGUGUGGGGAACAGGACCCCAACAGAGUGGGGAUUCCCCAAUGCACCUGCCCCUCUGACUUCUGGAAGAAGUUCCUCUCAAACCUGUGUGUCAUUCCCAGGUAUCACUCCCAUUUCCCUGGGGAAAUACUGACCCUGAUGGCAGAAUAUGGUGUGUUUGAGAUGCUGAAGACACCAAACUACUGUUUGCUGGGGUCUCCAGGCUGCCAGGCUGGCUGCCAGCUUGUUAAACACUCACUGAUGUGCCAUUAGGGAGCUGAAGUGUCAUCAGUGUUAUAAACCUGAACCUGUAGCUUAAUUUAGGGGCUUGUCAGACAUAUGGUAAUGGGCUGGUAAGGCUUGGUGAAAGGUGGCAUCUGCAGGCAUCUGCACAUUUUUAAUCUAUGUAUACAAUAAAAUAUUACACAUUAGCUUUUGCUCUUGCUGG
rnacentral:lncRNA from 1 species